UGGGGAAUUUUGGACAAUGGGCGAAAGCCUGAUCCAGCAAUGCCGCGUGUGUGAAGAAGGCCUUCGGGUUGUAAAGCACUUUUGUCCGGAAAGAAAUCCUUGGCUCUAAUACAGUCGGGGGAUGACGGUACCGGAAGAAUAAGCACCGGCUAACUACGUGCCAGCAGCCGCGGUAAUACGUAGGGUGCAAGCGUUAAUCGGAAUUACUGGGCGUAAAGCGUGCGCAGGCGGUUUGCUAAGACCGAUGUGAAAUCCCCGGGCUCAACCUGGGAACUGCAUUGGUGACUGGCAGGCUAGAGUAUGGCAGAGGGGGGUAGAAUUCCACGUGUAGCAGUGAAAUGCGUAGAGAUGUGGAGGAAUACCGAUGGCGAAGGCAGCCCCCUGGGCCAAUACUGACGCUCAUGCACGAAAGCGUGGGGAGCAAACAGGAUUAGAUACCCUGGUAGUCCACGCCCUAAACGAUGUCAACUAGUUGUUGGGGAUUCAUUUCCUAGUAACGUAGCUAACGCGUGAAGUUGACCGCCUGGGGAGUACGGUCG
rnacentral:rRNA from 1 species